CCUGCUCAAUGAAAAUUAAAUAGCUGCAGAAAACUGUACUAAGGUAGCACAAUCACUAGCCUUUUAAUUAAAGGAUCGCAUGAAAGGUAUCACGAAUUUAAAAUUUUCUUCUUAAUAAAUAUUUAAAAUUAACAUUAAAGUAAAAAGGCUUUAAACUUUUAGAAAGACAACAAGACCCUAACGAACUUUAACUAAAAGUUUCACUGGGGAAGUUAAAAAAAAACACCUUUUUAAUAUUAUUAUAUCAUGACCGAACAAUUAAUCUUUCAUUAGAAUCAAGUUACCGUAGGGAUAACAGCGUUAUUUAUUAUUAAAGCUCUUAUAAAAUAAUAACAUUACGACCUCGAUGUUGAAUUAAAUAACUAAAUUUAGAAACAUAAAUUUAAGUCAGUCUGUUCGACUAUUAAAAAUUUACAU
rnacentral:rRNA from 1 species